AAUAACACAUCUAGUGUCCCCUAGAGUUCCCUUGACCACUUCACUGGGGACCUUCUCUAGUUAUAAUGACUUCCUACUGAAGUGUUUGGGGGAACUCCUGGUGCCAUUUGAUACUUACUGACUAUCCAUCACACGUUAGUUACAUCAAUGAAGGAAAAGACAUGCUACAAGGUCUUUUUCACUUAUGAUGAAGUGGAGCAUAUUCUUCAAUUACAUCCUAGGCGUUUCUUUCUAGCUACAAAAUCUACUGCUGCCAACUUUCUUUAUUAGAUUGCUAUGCUUGGGGCAUUAUAUCAUAACAUACUACAAUAUGAUUCUUUGGUUGAAAGAAAAUCUUCUUACAGAAAAACACAAAAAUGUAAGUACUCUAAUUAAUUUUAACAGCUACUUUUUGAGUGCCUUUUUUCCAGGUUCUAUGCAGAUCACUGAAGAACAGUGGCAAAGGAAUGCAAAAUGAGUAUUGAUCACAAGUGAGAUUCACAGAAUUGCAGUAGUCCUUGGUUUGAAUAGUACUCUGAAAAAAUAAAUCAAUCAAUCAAAGACCCGACCUAUGGUAGAAAUCUUGAGCAAAUUAGUUGCAUUUCAUCGACUUUGAGGCUCAGCCCAAGUUUUAUAGAAACUGCAAAAACCUGUUUUUCAACCUCAAUAUUGAUCUGAAUCAAUUUUUUUUUUGUUUAGAAAGGUAUCACACAAUGGAUUAAAACACAUUUUUUCUGUCAAAGAAAAUCCCAGGAGAUUGCUGUACCUGACAGUUGAGUAGGAAAGAAAGAUGGGGUGACAAAUUCUUCAAGUAUGAUACUUCAGCGCAUCGCAAACCGUUUUUCUUCCACUUGGAUUCAAGACGAGUUUUCUCUGAAAAGAAUAAAAUUGUGGAGGUGAAUCCGACCAAGUCUGACAUUUCUCAUUUAUCUUCAGCUUUUACAUUUUCUCCCUGUACCAUCUCUAUGUUAAAAGCCAGUAAUUCCAACAUGGCUGAUGGAACAAACAUUGGUUAAAGCAAAAGGGUAUUGGGCUCCAUAUGAACUGCUCUUCUAGUCA